UCGAUUUGUUAGAAUCAGGGGUUUGAAAGUCAGGAAGAAAGGCAAGCGAUUCAAGGCCAGUUCGGGAAGCCAGUCGGAACAAAACAAUGCAGCAGAAAGAUCUCCAGCAAGAAUGCUACCAACUAACCACCAUUUUUGAACUGACAAAUUUUCUUUGAUUAAAACAGGGGCAAAAAAGUUCAUUUGUUUCAGAGGAACCCUCCGUGGAGAAAGGCAGUCAACAAACAGGUUCGAUUUUUUAUUUUCAGGACCCUCCUGGAAAAUGGGACCUAGUUUAAAGUUCAAAAAUAGCAUAAUCUAGCAUAAAUGUAUCCUAAAGGAGUACAAGUUGGCUUAGAAGUGUGCAUGUUCGAAACAAGAUUCAAUUAGGAGUUUCCAGGACCCUCCUGAAUAAUGGGACUUAGCUUUAAGAUUUCAAUUAGAUAACAACAUUUAGCGUAACCUCUGUUGUAGGGUAGUAUAAUUCAGACAUGAAAGUUGUCACCCUUAAGAUAAAAUUUGACCUUUGAUUUUCAGGACCCUCCUGGAUAAUGGGGAGUAGUUUAAAGAUCCUCUUAGAUAGCAAGAUUUAGCAGAAGUCACACCUGUAGAAGAUAUAACUUAGAUUUUAAACCGUCGUUUAGUCAAGAGUUGUCAGGACCCCCUGAAUAAUGGGACCUAGCUUUCAAAUCCUUGGUAAUACUUGGUAAUAUGGUUUAGUUUUACAAUCACAUCUGUCCUCAGCCACCAAACUGGGGCAG
rnacentral:lncRNA from 1 species